GGCCGACUAGCUCAGUUGGUUAGAGCGUCGUGCUAAUAACGCGAAGGUCUUGGGUUCGAUCCCACGUUGGCCA
rnacentral:tRNA from 1 species